ACUGCCUUUUCACUGUUGGCAAAACAACUCCCUGGUUACCCUUGUUUAAACACCUGACCUACCAUUGUUAUUAACUCUAGAUUGGGCAAAAUUGCUCAACCAUGGCUUUUUACUGCUGCUGCAAAUGCAACCACAACUACCACAAAAACUGUUGACUGCUUGAUAAAGGAAGAGCGAUUAUGUAACGCACUGCUGCCCCAAGAGCUGGCUGCUGCUUGUUGAUUACAUGUACAUGUAUAUCAUUAUAGAGGACCCAAAAGACUGUGUUUUAAAGCUCCUUGGGAUGAUGCACCUUAUGCUAUUGGGCUUAACUUUUAGGACUGCACCAUUUCAAAAUAGGGGUAAAUCAUUAUAAACAAACAACGCCACAUGUUGCGAAGUGGCUUCCUCAGCCGGCCCAGAAGCAAUCCGAAAAGCGCCAAGGACUGUGGAUCUCACGGGUGCUACAGCGGGCCAGGCUUUCUGAGGAACAUACGUCUUUUUCUCAGCGGUUUUCAUGAUGUCUGCUACGCGAUCGGUGCAUGUCCAUAUAUUUGGUCAUUCCUUUCCAUCCAGGCUAACUCGACUAGCACAGCGGCGCGGCCUGCCUGUUGAAAAUGUUUUGAGACUUCCUCAACAUUACUAUGUAUCCACUGAGGGACACCCAGGUCUCACCUACGAUCGCAUCUUUGGCAAUCUCAACCACUACCUGAGUAGAAUGCGUACCAUGGAUAGAAUUGAUUUACUUUGUAUCGACCUUGGCACAAAUGAUCUGUGCAGUUGGGAUUGCACACCAACGGUGUUAGUUGACAACACAUUGAGGUUUAUCCGCGAAUUGGAGGAACACAACAUCACCCCGAAGCAGAUAGUAUUCUUUUCAGUGAUACAAAGGUCAAAAAUGAUGAGGCCAAACCAGGUACCUAUUGAAACCUUCAACCAUCGGGUUCGCCGGCUGAACAGAUUGCUCAAUGCAGCUCUUGUGUGCAAUAACCCACACGUGCAUCUUUUUCCACAGAGAAGAAUCAACUUUCCUAAAUACCUAGCGGAUGGAUGUCACCUUAAUGAGGAUGGAAUGAAAAUUUAUAUUCGUCAGCUGAGAGAUGUAUGCAUUCGCUAUGGUAUAUCUUAAAUGUCAGUGUUGCCAUGAUCAUAACGAAAGGCACAGGGAUAUAUCUGACACCUUCAUACCCAUUGACAGAAACAGUACGACAUCGCCUAUAGUAACGCGUUUUAUGUAACUUGUUGUGACAGCUACUUAAUUUAUACUUGAAUGAAAGGUUUCACAUUAACAACCCCACCUCCACACCCCAAUGAUAACUUCCAAUAAGAGAAUUCGUGCAUGUAUUUUCUUUUCCAAUUAAAAAAAGGCACAGGACAGAAACAAUUAGGAAUGGAAACAGAUUUGAUUAGCAUGAAAACUUCAAUAACAAAUAAUACUUCAAGCAACUUGCAUAAGUAGACACACGGUAGGUGUUGGUAAAUUGUGACUGCUCCUUCCAACAGUACACUUUCUAUUGACAAAAGGACCAUAAACUCUUCCUUAUACCUUCAUUAAUAAGUAAAACGGGAGCGGUUAUGUAUUUAAUGGAUGGUUUUCCCAUUAUACGCUGAAGAUUUCAUUUUCCUGUGUAAUAUGAAUAGGGAAUUCUUCCAUCAAUAAAGUAUUGAAAUGAU